CGCAUGAUUUGCUGGCGCCACUUGUUGGCCUCCGCUAGGCCGCGGCACUCCGACUCCAGGUAGGGGCGGUCCUCCUUCGGCUUCUUCUUCUCCACCACCAUCGCGACGCACAGCGAAGUCGAUCUCCUCAAGUUUCAACUGAGUUAUGUCCGACGAAGAGAAGCCAGAUCCGCCGGCCAUCUAGAUUCAGGUAGAUCUCUUGUCCGCCUCCAGCCGCAAGCAGAUCUCCUCGAAAUCGAAUCCAAGGAAGAAAUUAAGGCACGUUGAAGCAGAUUUCGUCAGGCGGUGGCUCGAGUCUCGACGGCGAUGUUGUGACGAACGGCGCUGCUAUAGGCGGCAGAACGAAGUGCAAUCGAAAGCGCUACAGCUGAUGAACGAGAGAAACCGAGAGAGGGGAGAAAUAGGACGGCAGAGACGUAGCGGCGAUGGCGGUGGCGAUGGCGCGACGCCGGCGAUGGUGUGGCAACUACGACAAGGAGAUGAGAUAGCUAGAGAGAUCUAGGGAAAGGUAGGUUGGGACGAGAGAGAGGCGAUGAUUGUGAUUUGUGAGAUACUGUAAUUGGGAGUAGCGAUUGCUGCCCAAAAUUGCCGGUAACAAAUUCUGCAAAAAAAAUAAUUGGAUUAUCAAGUUUGUUUUAUGAUGGAUUUGAAAUCAAUUGUAUUCAUCUUGAUUCAGAAUUUUACUUUCUCUUGUACUCAAAAUUGGGAUGGUUUGUUUAUCUAAAC
rnacentral:lncRNA from 1 species